rnacentral:rRNA from 1 species
AUGCUUAACACAUGCAAGUCGAACGCGAAAACGGCUUCGGCCGUAAGUAGAGUGGCAAACGGGUGAGUAACGCGUGGGUGACCUACCUUCGAGUGGGGGAUAACGUUUCGAAAGGAACGCUAAUACCGCAUAACAUCCCGUCUUUGGAAAGAUGGUGAUCAAAGCUGGGGAUCGUAAGACCUGGCACUUGAUGAGGGGCCCGCGUCCGAUUAGCUUGUUGGUGGGGUAAUGGCCUACCAAGGCGACAAUCGGUAUCCGGCCUAAGAGGGCGGACGGACACACUGGGACUGAGACACGGCCCAGACUCCUACGGGAGGCAGCAGUGGGGAAUUGUUCGCAAUGGACGAAAGUCUGACGACGCAACGCCGCGUGGAGGACGAAGACCUUCGGGUCGUAAACUCCUGUCGAGUGGGACGAAAACCACCCGGGUUAAUAGCCCGGGAGGCUGACGGUACCAUUAAAGGAAGCCCCGGCUAACUCCGUGCCAGCAGCCGCGGUAAUACGGGGGGGGCAAGCGUUGUUCGGAAUUACUGGGCGUAAAGAGCUCGUAGGCGGCUUGUUUAGUCGGACGUGAAAUCCCUUGGCUUAACUGAGGAACUGCGUCCGAUACUGGCAGGCUUGAAUCCGGGAGAGGGAUGCGGAAUUCCAGGUGUAGCGGUGAAAUGCGUAGAUAUCUGAAGGAACACCAGUGG